rnacentral:lncRNA from 1 species
GAUUAUUAUUAGCAUUUAAUACUUUUUAGUAUUAUCUUUACUCACAAGUUCCGGCACCGAACGUUAGAUGGCACGCGAAAGCGGUUUUAUAAUCCAUAACAACAACGUAAACUGCAGUUUAAUAUAAUGUAAUUUACUAAUAUACCAACAACAAUAACAGAUACAUAUAAGAGACACUUACUGAAGAAAGAUAGAAAAAUAUUUAGGUGUUACAGGUUAAAUGAAUUUAAAAUGACACUUGUUGCUAAAAUUAUUACCCGUUUGUUAAUAUCAGUAACUUGAAACUGUUAAUACAACGUUUAAUCUCAGAUUUUACUCGACUGGUCAUUUCAAGGCAAUUGCAGUACUACAGAAAGAGAAGGGAAUUGAAGAUAGCAGACAUAUAAACGAGCAAACUUUCUCUGUGGGGGAAGGGCAUUUAAAAAAUAUAAAUGUUUAAAUAAAAAUAAAAAUAAUGAAUAUCUUUAAAAUCGUACGUUUCACGAAGCUUUGUUACCUAACAGUGAUCUGAUCGCGUGAAGUUGCUGACAUGAUAGAGAAAAAUUAUCUCGUCAUCUUUCGUUUUUCAACAUUGUUUUCAAUAUCUGAUUCUAACUCUGGUUUUCUAAUCAGUCAUGUGACUUAAAACACUGACAUUUGACAUCUGAUUAAUUAAAGUGAUCAAUUAAUGAAUUUUGUGUGUUUAAUAAAAUUUAGAAGAAAAUAUAAUAAAAAAAUUAACAAUACAGAUGGUAAUUCGAAGAAAUAAUAAUUAUGAUAACUGGUAUUGCAUUAGUAGAAAUAGAAAGUGUUGACUCAAUACAAGAGUACACAGAUAUAGAAAUAAGAUGUACAGACGGAGACGUUAGACGGAAUUGCACAGAUACAAGUCAACGAAAUAACUAAAUGAAUUUAAACGUGUUAUAAAUAGAAUGGUGAGUUGUCGAGAAUAGCGCAUCGCGCUACUUUAAAUACAUCAUACUCAUAAGUUGAUACAAUAUUAAGAUACAAUUGUUUUAGAUAUUAUCUUUAAAUACUUUAAUAUUGUUCACAAUUAUAAAUACAUAAAUCAACUAUUUUUAUAUUGUAAAUAAGUUUUUCUAUUGUUAACUUUGUUUAACAAAAUACUGAUAAUUGUAAAGGGGUUUUUGCCUUCUUUGAUUGUCCGCAACGGAAUUGCCUACGGCAAGGACAUUCACUGCAAGGUCAUGUAUAUAUUUAUAUAUGUGCCUGUGAGUGUGGAAGUUUAAAAUUGUUAUUUUUUUUUUUUUUUUUCAUUUAUUUAUUAAUGUAUUGUAAAUUAAUGUUAAGUACAGUAAAAAAAUAUUUAUUAUUAAUGGCAUUUUUUCACGUAAGGGGAUUAAUGAUAAUUAACUAAUUAAUUUGUUUGUUUUGAUAUUAAUAAAUAUUGAGAUUGUUCGACAUUAUGUUUUGACGUCACGCGACUUGCGUCAUGUACUGAAUAGUUUUUUUAUUAUUUAUUAGUAUUGUCUUUUUUAUUAGUUUAUAUAAUAAUGGGUUUGGAUCUAAAUUUUGAAUUAAGUAAGUAAUAGUAAUAGUAAUUAAUUUCGUUGAGUUUUGGAAUAUGUUACGUUUAUUGUGUUUGCAUUGAUACCUAUGAUUUACAAUAAUGUAAAUAGUAAAGAUUAGUAUUAUAUGUGAUGUAUGUGAACAUUAAUUAAUUAAGAUAGUACUAUAUUUAGUGAGAGAAGAAAAAAGAUACACUUUAAAGGACUUGAUUUCAUGUGGGACACGAUACCGUAAGCUUUACUUGAGGUCCGUUAUAAUAUUUUUGCUGUCGUAUUUUUCAUGUAUUUAUAUUAUUAUUUUCUUUUGUGGUAUUAGUCAUUGGAAAAUUUUUUGUUAAUGACUGUUACUGUCAUACCGUCCGCGGAAUAAUUUAAAUAGGUGGUAGAGUAAGUUCAAUGAAAAUGUAAAGAAGCAUGCGUUUGAGUUGAAUAAUUAUUUGAGUUAUCGGGAAAUUCUCGAGUUGGAUGUACGUGUGAGUAAAUAUUGGUCUGUAAUAGUUUGAUUUGAGAAGCAAUAUAUUGUAAUUAUUUUUAAUAAAAUAUUGAUAAUUUUA